CAGUGAAACUGCGAAUGGCUCAUUAAAUCAGUUAUGGUUCCUUUGAUCGUCACAUCCUACAUGGAUAACUGUGGUAAUUCUAGAGCUAAUACAUGCGGAAGAAGCGCCGACCUCACGGUCUGGCGUGCAUUUAUCAGACCAAGACCAACCCGGGGUUCGCCCCGGUCCCUUUGGUGACUCUGGAUAACCCAGCCGAUCGCACGGUCUUCGCACCGGCGACAGAUCAUUCGAAUGUCUGCCCUAUCAACUUUCGAUGGUAGGUUCUGUGCCUACCAUGGUGGCAACGGGUGACGGGGAAUCAGGGUUCGGUUCCGGAGAGGGAGCCUGAGAAACGGCUACCACAUCCAAGGAAGGCAGCAGGCGCGCAAAUUACCCACUUCCGACUCGGGGAGGUAGUGGCC
rnacentral:rRNA from 1 species